CAACCUGCCGAUGACUCGGGGAUAGCCUUUCGAAAGAAAGAUUAAUACCCGAUGGCAUAGUUCUUCCGCAUGGUAGAACUAUUAAAGAAUUUCGGUCAUCGAUGGGGAUGCGUUCCAUUAGGUUGUUGGCGGGGUAACGGCCCACCAAGCCUUCGAUGGAUAGGGGUUCUGAGAGGAAGGUCCCCCACAUUGGAACUGAGACACGGUCCAAACUCCUACGGGAGGCAGCAGUGAGGAAUAUUGGUCGAUGGACGAGAGUCUGAACCAGCCAAGUAGCGUGAAGGAUGACUGCCCUAUGGGUUGUAAACUUCUUUUAUACGGGAAUAAAGUGAGGCACGUGUGCCUUUUUGUAUGUACCGUAUGAAUAAGGAUCGGCUAACUCCGUGCCAGCAGCCGCGGUAAUACGGAGGAUCCGAGCGUUAUCCGGAUUUAUUGGGUUUAAAGGGAGCGUAGGCGGACGCUUAAGUCAGUUGUGAAAGUUUGCGGCUCAACCGUAAAAUUGCAGUUGAUACUGGGUGUCUUGAGUACAGUAGAGGCAGGCGGAAUUCGUGGUGUAGCGGUGAAAUGCUUAGAUAUCACGAAGAACUCCGAUUG
rnacentral:rRNA from 1 species